rnacentral:rRNA from 1 species
UACCAGCACCCCGAGCGGUCGGCACGUUUAUUGGGCCUAAAGCAUCCGUAGCCGGUUCUACAAGUCUUCCGUUAAAUCCAACUGCUUAACAGGUGGGCUGCGGAAGAUACUAUAGAGCUAGGAGGCGGGAGAGGCAAGCGGUACUCGAUGGGUAGGGGUAAAAUCCGUUGAUCCAUUGAAGACCACCAGUGGCGAAGGCGGCUUGCCAGAACGCGCUCGACGGUGAGGGAUGAAAGCUGGGGGAGCAAACCGG